ACGUAAUAGAUACCCGGGUAGUCCACGCCCUAAACGAUGUCUACUAGUUGUUGGUGGAGUAAAAUCCAUGAGUAAACGCAGCUAAACGCGUGAAGUAGACCGCCUGGGGAGUACGGUCGCAAGAUUAAAACUCAAAUGAAUUGACGGGGGCCCGCACAAGCGGUGGAUUAUGUGGAUUAAAUUCGAUGCAACGCGAAAAACCUUACCUGGCCUUGACAUGUAACGAACUUUCCAGAGAUGGAUUGGUGCUCGAAAGAGAACGUUAACACAGGUGCUGCAUGGCUGUCGUCAGCUCGUGUCGUGAGAUGUUGGGUUAAGUUCCGCAACGAGCGCAACCCUUGCCAUUAAUUGCCAUCAUUUAGUUGGGCACUUUAAUGGGACUGCCGGUGACAAACCGGAGGAAGGUGGGGAUGACGUCAAGUCCUCAUGGCCCUUAUGGCCAGGGCUUCACACGUAAUACAAUGGUCGGUACAGAGGGUUGCCAACCCGCGAGGGGAGCCAAUCCCAGAAAGCCGAUCGUAGUCCGGAUUGUAGUCUGCAACUCGACUAC
rnacentral:rRNA from 1 species